CAGCUGGUAUUCAUUGUGAAACCAGACAUACUUUUAUUUUAUUAAUUUUGUUUAUUCGACUUAUAUCCCAUUACGGGAAUGAGAACGGGGG
rfam:Clostridium cellulolyticum H10, complete genome.